UAGGGAAUCUUCCGCAAUGGACGCAAGUCUGACGGAGCAACGCCGCGUGAGUGAAGAAGGAUUUCGGUUCGUAAAACUCUGUUGUUAGAGAAGAACAGCGCAUAGAGUAACUGUUAUGCGUGUGACGGUAUCUAACCAGAAAGCCACGGCUAACUACGUGCCAGCAGCCGCGGUAAUACGUAGGUGGCAAGCGUUGUCCGGAUUUAUUGGGCGUAAAGCGGGCGCAGGCGGAAAUGCAAGUCAGGUGUAAAAGGCAGUAGCUUAACUACUGUAAGCAUUUGAAACUGCAUAGCUUGAGAAGAGUAGAGGUAAGUGGAAUUUUUAGUGUAGCGGUGAAAUGCGUAGAUAUUAAAAAGAAUACCGGUGGCGAAGGCGACUUACUGGGCUCAUUCUGACGCUGAGGAACGAAAGCGUGGGUAGCAAACAGG
rnacentral:rRNA from 1 species